rnacentral:lncRNA from 1 species
GGGGUGACUGCGUGUGCAUGUGCAUGUUGGCAAAUAGCAGGGCAGAGAAGGGCCAGGCUCUGGAGGGAGAGUGAUGCUUUUGCUUAUUUGUUUUGUUUUGUUGAGACAGUCUCACGCUGUUGUCCAGGCUGGAGAGCAGUGGUGUGCCAUCACUGCUCAAGUGAUCCUCCUGCCUCAGCCUCCUGGGAAAUUGGGACCACACGCGUGCACCACCACACUUGGCAAAUUUUUAAAAUUUUUUGUAGAGACAAGGUCUUGCUGUGUUACCCAAGCUGGUUCCUAAUUCCUGGCCUCAAGCGAUCCUCCCACAUUGGCCUCCCAAAGGCUGGGAUUACAGGCGUG